GACGAACGCUGGCGGCGCGCUUAAUACAUGCAAGUCGAGCGAGAACCAGAGCUUCGGCUCUGGGGACAGCGGCGAACGGGUGAGUAACACGUGAGUAAUCUGCCCUCGGCACCGGGAUAGCCCGGGGAAACCCGGAUUAAUACCGGAUGGCCUCUCGAGCUUUCGGGCUCGUGAGAAAAGGUAGCUUCGGCCUCCGGCCGAGGAGGAGCUCGCGGCGGAUUAGCUUGUUGGUGGGGUAACGGCUCACCAAGGCGACGAUCCGUAGCUGGUCUGAGAGGACGAUCAGCCACACUGGGACUGAGAUACGGCCCAGACUCCUACGGGAGGCAGCAGUAGGGAAUCUUGCGCAAUGGGCGAAAGCCUGACGCAGCGACGCCGCGUGCGGGAAGAAGGCCUUCGGGUUGUAAACCGCUUUCAGGAGGGACGAAGCCACUCGGGUUAAUAGCCCAGAGGGUGACGGUACCUCCAGAAGAAGCCCCGGCUAACUACGUGCCAGCAGCCGCAGUAAUAC
rnacentral:rRNA from 1 species